CGCGGGAUAGAGCAGCCUGGUAGCUCGCAAGGCUCAUAAUCUUGAGGUCGCAGGUUCGAAUCCUGCUCCCGCUA
rnacentral:tRNA from 1 species